GACAUAGGUGGCGAACGUUAUCCGGAAUUAUUGGGCGUAAAGGAUGCGUAGAUGGUAGAAUAAGUUACUGGUCGAUGCCAAACUCAAUUUGACGGAAGCUGGUAAUACUGUUCUGCUCGAGGACAGGAGAGGUUGAUGGAAUUCUGUGUGGAGCGGUGAAAUGCGUUGAUCUACAGAGGAACACCAAAAAAGGCGAAGGCAAGUCAACAUAUUCUGUUCCUGACAUUUGAGGCA
rnacentral:rRNA from 1 species